GACUCGAAAGCAUGGGUAGCGAACAGGAUUAGAUACCCUGGUAGUCCAUGCCGUAAACGAUGAGUGCUAGGUGUUGGAGGGUUUCCGCCCUUCAGUGCCGGAGCUAACGCAUUAAGCACUCCGCCUGGGGAGUACGACCGCAAGGUUGAAACUCAAAGGAAUUGACGGGGGCCCGCACAAGCGGUGGAGCAUGUGGUUUAAUUCGAAGCUACGCGAAGAACCUUACCAGGUCUUGACAUCUUGCGCCAACCCUAGAGAUAGGGCGUUUCCUUCGGGAACGCAAUGACAGGUGGUGCAUGGUCGUCGUCAGCUCGUGUCGUGAGAUGUUGGGUUAAGUCCCGCAACGAGCGCAACCCUUGUUACUAGUUGCCAGCAUUAAGUUGGGCACUCUAGUGAGACUGCCGGUGACAAACCGGAGGAAGGUGGGGACGACGUCAGAUCAUCAUGCCCCUUAUGACCUGGGCUACACACGUGCUACAAUGGACGGUACAACGAGUCGCGAACUCGCGAGGGCAAGCAAAUCUCUUAAAACCGUUCUCAGUUCGGACUGCAGGCUGCAACUCGCCUGCACGAAGUCGGAAUCGCUAGUAAUCGCGGAUCACAU
rnacentral:rRNA from 2 species